rnacentral:rRNA from 1 species
UACCGGAUAGGCAAUUAUUCCUGCAAUGGUUUUUUGUUUAAAUGUUUUUUCGCCUAAGGAUGGGUCUGCGGCCGAUUAGGUAGUUGGUUAGGUAAUGGCUUACCAAGCCGUUGAUCGGUACGGGUUGUGAGAGCAAGAGCCCGGAGAUGGAACCUGAGACAAGGUUCCAGGCCCUACGGGGUGCAGCAGGCGCGAAACCCCCGCAAUGUGAGAAAUCGCGACGGGGGGGUCCCAAGUGCCAUUCUUAACGGGAUGGCUUUUCAUUAGUGUAAAGAGCUUUUGGAAUAAGAGCUGGGCAAGACCGGUGCCAGCCGCCGCGGUAACACCGGCAGCUCUAGUGGUAACAAUUUUUAUUGGGCCUAAAGCGUCCGUAGCCGGUUUAAUAAGUCUCUGGUGAAAUCCUGUAGCUUAACUGUGGGAAUUGCUGGAGAUACUAUUAGACUUGAGACCGGGAGAGGUUAGAGGUACUCCCAGGGUAGAGGUGAAAUUCUGUAAUCCUGGGAGGACCGCCUGUUGCGAAGGCGUCUAACUGGAACGGUUCUGACGGUGAGGGACGAAAAGUUAGGGGCACGAACCGGAUUAGAUACCCGGGUAGUCCUAACUGUAAACGAUGCGGACUUGGUGUUGGGGUGGCUUUGAGCUG